CGCGGGGUGGAGCAGUCCGGUAGCUCGUCGGCUCAUAACCCGAAGGUCAGAGGUUCGAAUCCUCUCCCCGCAACCA
rnacentral:tRNA from 1 species